GCUGCCAUCGGCUAGGGGUUAGGCCGUCGCGUUCUCAGCGCGAAAACACCGGUUCGAAUCCGGUUGGCAGUGCCA
rnacentral:tRNA from 1 species